rnacentral:rRNA from 1 species
CCUACGGGUGGCAGCAGUGGGGAAUAUUGCACAAUGGGGGAAACCCUGAUGCAGCGACGCCGCGUGAGUGAAGAAGUAUCUCGGUAUGUAAAGCUCUAUCAGCAGGGAAGAAAAUGACGGUACCUGACUAAGAAGCCCCGGCUAACUACGUGCCAGCAGCCGCGGUAAUACGUAGGGGGCAAGCGUUAUCCGGAUUUACUGGGUGUAAAGGGAGCGUAGACGGCGCUGCAAGUCCGGAGUGAAAGCCCAUGGCUUAACCAUGGUACUGCUCUGGAAACUGUGGUUCUUGAGUGAAGUAGAGGCAGGCGGAAUUCCUAGUGGAGCGGUGAAAUGCGUAGAUAUUAGGAGGAACACCAGUGGCGAAGGCGGCCUGCUGGACUUUUACUGACGCUGAGGCUCGAAAGUGUGGGUAGCAAACAGGAUUAGAUACCCUAGUAGUC